rnacentral:lncRNA from 13 species
CUCCAAUCAUGUAAUUACCUAAUGACUCAGCCUUCCUGACAUUCAUUUGGCUGAUAUCUGGACAGAUAACCAUCAUUCUGGAGCCAUCUCCGAGGUGGAGAACUCUAAAGCACAGACCCCAAAGAACACCUGCUGGACAUAACAAGGUUGAAAGAAGUUUCACAGGAUGGUUGUAACUGGGCCACAUAUUUUUCUAUCUAGAGAAUAUUGCAGCACAGGAAAAGAGAGACAAUAUAUUUAUGAAUAAUCGAUUAUGAUACUCAAGUGGAAUCAAAUGAAGAACAAAAAAACUGUACUUGUGGUAUCUUUCCCUGCUGCUGAACAGGAAUGACAGCAGGACUGAAGCAGAAACAGCAUGGUCAGUCACAUUUUUAUUGACUUAGC